rnacentral:rRNA from 1 species
UACAGAGACUGCAAGCGUUAUUCGGAUUCACUGGGCGUAAAGGGUGCGAAGGCGGCCCAGUGUGUGGGGCGUGAAAGCCUGGAGCUUAACUCCAGAAUUGCACCUCAAACCACUUGGCUAGAGCAUUGGAGAGGGUAGCGGAAUUCCCGGUGUAGUGGUGAAAUGCGUAGAUAUCGGGAGGAACACCAGUGGCGAAGGCGGCUUUCUGGCCUGCUCUUGACGCUGAGGCGCGAAAGCUAGGGGAGCAAACGGG